AUAUUUUGUUUAAUGCAAAUAUUUCUAAUUGGAGGCCAAAUAAAUGAGCCCUCACCAAAUGUUUCUGGUGGUCAAAAGUAUUCUAUUAUAUUACAAGCACAUGAACUCACAAAACCAGCACGAACUCAUACUGGUAAACCAAUUGAACAACUAAAACAGGAAAAGAAUACUGAGAGACCAUGGUUAUAUCGAGUUUUUAACAUAUGAGCAACAAGCGAGAUGUAAUAAAAUAUAAAAAUAAUAAAAGUAUUUGACUCUUGCAAGAGAAACAACCAA